rnacentral:rRNA from 1 species
GCGACCCCAGGUCAGGCGGGAUCACCUGCUGAGUU